CGGCGCGAUCCCGGCGAUCCCAGGAGAAGCUGCACGGAUCCACUCGGAGUUAAAACCACGUGGGAACUCCAACCUAUAACAGAGACGCCAUGGGCUCCUCACUAUUUAGGAGAUUAAGUUAAGUCUUUUGCCCCCUGGGCUAUUACAGUAACUUCCUGAUGUGGAAA